UGAUCCUGGCUCAGAUUGAACGCUGGCGGCAGGCCUAACACAUGCAAGUCGAACGGUAACAUUUAUAGCUUGCUAUAAGAUGACGAGUGGCGGACGGGUGAGUAAUGCUUAGGAACUUGCCUUUUGGUGGGGGAUAACAGUUGGAAACGACUGCUAAUACCGCAUAAUGUCUUUGGACCAAAGGGGGCUUCGGCUCUCACCAAGAGAGAGGCCUAAGUGAGAUUAGUUAGUUGGUGGGGUAAAGGCUUACCAAGACGACGAUCUCUAGCUGUUCUGAGAGGAAGAUCAGCCACACUGGGACUGAGACACGGCCCAGACUCCUACGGGAGGCAGCAGUGGGGAAUAUUGCACAAUGGGGGGAACCCUGAUGCAGCCAUGCCGCGUGUGUGAAGAAGGCCUUCGGGUUGUAAAGCACUUUCAGUUGUGAGGAAAGGUUGGUAGCUAAUACCUGCCAGCUGUGACGUUAACAACAGAAGAAGCACCGGCUAACUCCGUGCCAGCAGCCGCGGUAAUACGGAGGGUGCGAGCGUUAAUCGGAAUUACUGGGCGUAAAGCGCACGCAGGCGGUUUGUUAAGCGAGAUGUGAAAGCCCCGGGCUCAACCUGGGAGGGUCAUUUCGAACUGGCAGACUAGAGUUUUGGAGAGGGGAGUGGAAUUCCAGGUGUAGCGGUGAAAUGCGUAGAUAUCUGGAGGAACAUCAGUGGCGAAGGCGACUCCCUGGUCAAAGACUGACGCUCAUGUGCGAAAGUGUGGGUAGCGAACAGGAUUAGAUACCCUGGUAGU
rnacentral:rRNA from 1 species